CCUACGGGUGGCAGCAGUGGGGAAUAUUGGACAAUGGGCGAAAGCCUGAUCCAGCCAUGCCGCGUGUGUGAAGAAGGCCUUCGGGUUGUAAAGCACUUUCAGUGGGGAAGAAAGCCUUGGGGCUAAUACCCUCGAGGAAGGACAUCACCCACAGAAGAAGCACCGGCUAACUCCGUGCCAGCAGCCGCGGUAAUACGGAGGGUGCGAGCGUUAAUCGGAAUUACUGGGCGUAAAGCGCGCGUAGGCGGUCUGAUAAGCCGGUUGUGAAAGCCCCGGGCUCACCCUGGGAACGGCAUCCGGAACUGUCAGGCUAGAGUGCAGGAGAGGAAGGUAGAAUUCCCGGUGUAGCGGUGAAAUGCGUAGAGAUCGGGAGGAAUACCAGUGGCGAAGGCGGCCUUCUGGACUGACACUGACGCUGAGGUGCGAAAGCGUGGGUAGCAAACAGGAUUAGAUACCCCGGUAGUC
rnacentral:rRNA from 1 species